rnacentral:rRNA from 1 species
ACUCAAAUGAAUUGACGGGGGCCCGCACAAGCGGUGGAACAUGUGGUUUAAUUCGACACUACGCGAGGAACCUUACCUAGGCUUGACAUGCUUUUGACAGUUGUAGAAAUACAAUCUUCUUUACUUUGUAAAGACAAUUGCACAGGUGCUGCAUGGUUGUCGUCAGCUCGUGUCGUGAGAUGUUGGGUUAAGUCCUUUAACGAGCGCAACCCUUGCCGAUAGUUGCUAUUUGUUUACAAAGCACUCUAUUGGGACUGCCUGGGAAACCAGGAGGAAGGUGGGGAUGACGUCAAAUCAUCAUGGUCCUUAUGUCUAGGGCUACACACGUGUUACAAUGGUCAGUACAGAGGGGUGCAAUUCUGCGAAGAUGAGCAAAUCCUUAAAACUGAUCUAAGUUCGGAUUGCGGUCUGCAACUCGACCGCAUGAAGUUGAAAUCGCUAGUAAUCGCGUAUCAGCAACGACGCGGUGAAUACGUUCACGGGCCUUGUACACACCGCCCGU